GAGUCCCUCGUGAUUUUUACCCAAGCCCAUCAGUGUCCCAGUCGAAAGGGCUUGAAAGAGACAGACAUCAGAAUCAAAGAAGACCCGACAUGAGUUGUCUUCACAAAGUUUGGACACGGAAAUGAGAUUAAAGUGAAAAUCUGGAAUGAAUAGAAUGACUUUGAGUGUGAUGGAAGAAUUUAGCUGAACAUUUCCAAUUUUAGCGACGGAAGUGUCACUUCCAUUUGGAAGACGUAUGGAGGUAUGAGGGGAAGACUUGUUAAUUUUGAAAAAGAAACGUUCAUCGCAGACUAUAUGGUCACUAGUACCUGAAUCAAUAAUCCAUGCCUUUUUCGAAAUGGCGCUCAUCAAACAAUAGGAAAUACCUCAAUAACUGGCCGUUUUGUCUUGUAUUCCCAUCUGAUUUAAAGCCCUCAUAAUUUGUUGAAACUGAUCAUUAUUAAUGGGCUGGUUGACCUUGGCAUGUGCUGCGACGGAGAUAUCUCGUUCCUUUUUAUCUGUCGGCUUCCUAUGCAAUUUCCAACAAUCUUCUUCAGUGUGAUAGGGACAUUUGCAAUAAUCGCAAAAUUUACCUUUUCCUUUGUUGGAAUUGCCUUUGUUUGAUGAUGUGGCAGAAUUUGGGCGACGAGAUCCUUUCCAGGCAGGUGAUGACGUGGCAUGAUGUGCGCCAUCUGAUUUGGGCAUGGCGAGAAUUAAAGAUGGACCAUCUAAUCUCGCUGAAGAACCUCCACCAUCUGAUCCCAUGAUGAAAUCAUGCCUGUUCGUUUGAUGUGAGAGUCGAGUGUAUUCUGGGCCGUCCGAUUUAGUGAACAAAUCAUGGAUGUUCGCUGGAAAAGAAGACAUUCCAUCUUCUUGAUCCUCGAGAAACCCUAUUGGGUUUCGUGAGCCUCCAUGGCUGGACCUCGACAAGAGUGGUCGUUGCUCCGGCGAGGCCUUGGCUGCGAGAACAACGCGAUCACCCACUUUAACAUACUCCGACGAGGCCAAUCAUUGAGAUUCCUCCUGAACCGCAAGUUGGUAUAUUCGGCCGAGCGAGGGGACGGGUUCCAUGGCCAAGAUCUGGCUCCAAAACGGAUGUUGGCAUGCGGAAGUGUUGAAAUGCGGAAGCUAGGCUAAGUAGGGAGGCUAUGAUACCAUGUCAAAAGUUUAGAGGAUGGAAAGCGAUUGAAGAUUGGAAUUGUGUAUUGCUUUCAUACAUAACAAUGUGUAAUUACAGCCCUAUUUAUAGUACAAGAAGUCUAGAUGAUUAGGGAAAGAAAAUAUACAUAAUAAAGAAAAAAAGAUUCCCUAAGAUUGCCUGAUAUGCAAUAUUCUAAUUUUCCACCAA